rnacentral:rRNA from 1 species
AUGUAAAUAUUUAUGUUUUAAAGAUUUUUUAAAAUAAAAGUCAUGUUCAUUAUUUUGAGAUUUGAAAAAUCGAGCCUUAACUUACUAGGUACAGUUUAUCUUCGAUUCGAAAUAUUCGAAUACUUUUCUUCUUAAAAAUAAUAAAACAUGAAAUUUUAAAGCAUGGAAUGCUUGUUAAUUUUUGAAAAUCUUACGGGUCGUGCCCUAACUUAUUGGACACGACUUCCUUUCUCGGGAUUUUCAAAAUAACAAGCCUUCUUCAAAAAAAUUCAACUUCCAAAAUAAUAUUUAAUUUGUUAAUCAUGCAUUUCGGGAUCACAAUUUAAUUUUCACUCGAGUUUUAAAAUUUUCAACGAUUGAUACCCCUAAAAAAUCGAUUUGGUACCAAUUUUGGGCGUGUUGAGGGUGUUAAUCCUUCCUCAUACGUAACCAACUCCCGAGCUCAUUUUCUGGAUUUCGAAGACCUAUUUUAAAAAGAAUGUUUUAAAGGUAUCCUAAUCACACCAAAUAAAAAGAUUGGUGGCGAAUAUCAUUUUCGAUUUUAAAAUUUAAAAGUCGGGGCGCGUUUCUAAAAAUGUUUCGACAGCCAAGUUGUCUUCAAAUGCCGUAACUCCUCCGAGUUAAUAGGUCUCUGUCGACGAGAAACGUCAUUCGCGGUGGCAGGUAAAAAAACUCGUUUUUUAUGAUUACUAUUUUUAAAACACAGAUUUGAGUUUAGAUCGAAACCGAUCUAGUCCAGAUCUGAAAAAAAAGGGUUUUGUUUCUACAAAAAUAUUUUAAAUAUAAUCCUAGAUCUAGGGGUGAAAUGCCACUCGAACCCAGAGCUAGCUGGUUCUCCUCGAAAUGCGUUGAGGCACAGCAGUUGACUGGACAUCUAGGGGUAAAACACUGUUUCGGUGUGGGCCGUGAGAGCAGUACCAAAUUGAGGCAAACUCUGAAUACUAGAUAUGACCUCAAAAUAACAGGGGUCGAGGUCGGCAAGAAAGACAAUGGGGGAUAAGCUUCAUUAUCGAGACGAAAACAGCCCGGAUCACUAGCUAAGGCCCCUAAAUGACCGCUCAGUGAUAAAGGAGGUAGGGGUGUAGAGACAGCGGAGAGGUUUGCCUAGAAACAGCCACCCUUGAAAGAGUGCGUAAUAGCUCACUGAUCGUGCGCUCUUGCGCCGAAGAUGAACGGGGUUAAGCGAUCUGCCGAAGCUGUGGGAUGUAAAAACGCAUUGGUAGGGGAGCGUUUUGCCUUAAGAGGAAGCAUCCGCGUGAGCGGAAGUAGACGAAGCGAAAACAAGAAUGUCGACUUGAGUAACGCAAACAUUGGUGAGAAUUUAAUGCCCUGAAAACCCAAGGGUUCCUCCGCAAGGUUCGUCCACGGAAGGUGAGUCAAGGCCUAAGAUCAGGCCGAAAGGCGUAGUCGAUGACAACAAGUGGAUAUUCCUGUACUACCCCUUGUUGGUCCCGAGGGAUAGAGGAGGCUAGGUUAGCCAAAAGAUGGUUAUUGAUUCAAGGACGCAAGGUGCCCCUACUUUUUCAGGGUAAAAAGGGGUAGAGAAAAUGCCCCCAGCCAAUGUUCGAGUACCAGGUGCUACGGCGUUGAAGUAACCCAUGCUAUACUUCCAGGAAAAGCUCGAACGACCUUCAACAAAAUGGUACAUGUACCCGAAACCGACACAGGUGGGUAGGUAAAGAAUACCUAGAGGCGCGAGACAACUCUCUCUAAGGAACUCGAUAAAAUAACCCCGUAACUUCGGGAGAAUGGGUGCCUCCUCUCAAAGGGGGUCGUAGUGACCAGGCCCGGCCGACUGUUUACCAAAAACACAGGUCUCCGCAAAGUCGUAAGACCAUGUAUGAGGGCUGACGCCUGCUUAGGGCCGGAAGGUCAAGGAACUUGGUGACCUGAUGACAAGGGAGCCGACGAUUGAAGCCCCGGUGAACGGCGAUCGUAACUAUAAUGAUCCUAAAGUACCGAAAUUCCUUGUCGGGUAAGUUUCGACCCGCACGAAAGGCGUAACGAUUUGGGCACUGUCUCGAAUAGAGGCUUGAUGAAAUAGACAUGUUUGUUAAGAUACGGAUUACCCGCAUCUGCACAAAAAGACCCUAUGAAGCUUCACUGUUCCAUGGGAUUGACUUUGGGCUUUUCUUGCGCAGUUUAGGUGGAAGGCGAAGAAGGCCUUCUUCUUGGAGGGCCCGAGCCAUCAGUGAGAUACCACUCUGGAAGAGCUAGAAUUUUGACCUUGUGUCAGGACCUACGGGUCAAAGGACAGUCCCAGGUAGAUAGUUUCUAUGGGGCGUAAGCCUCCCAAAAGGUAAAGGAGGCAUGUAAAGGUUUUCUCGGGGCAGACGGAGAUUGGCCCUCGAGUGCAAAGGCAGAAGGGAGCUUGACUGCAAGAUCUAUCCGUCGAGUAGGGAUGAAAGUUGGCCUUAGUGAUCCGACGGUGCCAAGUGAAAGGGCCGUCACUCAAUGGAUAAAAGUUACUCUAGGGAUAAUAGGCUGAUCUUCCCCAAGAGCUCACAUCGACGGGAAGGUUUGGCACCUCGAUGUCGGCUCUUCGCCACCUAGGGCUGUAGUAUGUUCCAAGGGUUAGGCUGUUUGCCCCUUAAAGCGGUACGUGAGCUGGGUUCAGAACGUCGUGAGACAAUUCGACCCAUAUCCGGUGUGGGCGUUAGAGUAUCGAGAGGACCUUUCCCUAGUACGAGAUGACCGGGAAGGACGCACUUCUGGUGUACCAGUUAUCGUGCCCAUGGUAAACGCUGGGUAACCAAGCGCGGAGCGGAUAACUGCUGAAAGCAUCUAAAUAGUAAGCCCACCCAAGAUAAGUGCUCUUCUAUUCCUACUUAUUUAGAGCCUUUGGUAGAAUAACCGAGACGGCAAGGGGUUCUCUGUCCCUGCGGGGAUCAAGUGAUAGAAGUUUUAAGAAUUCAAGAGAAGGUCACGUUGAGACAAGCCUUUUAUCAUUACGAUAGGUGUCAAGUGAAAGUGCAAUGAUAUAUGCAAUUGAGGCAUCCUAACAGACAUGUAGACUUGAAC